rnacentral:misc_RNA from 1 species
UAUGUUAAGGUAUUUUUUUUUUUUCCUUGUGUUAGUUGAACAUUCUUCCAUGAGAAACUUCAGGAAACAUAUUUUAAAUCCUAUGACUCCGGUUACCACUAUGUUUGACUUGUCUAGAGGUCUGAACUAUUAUGUAGUUAGGUAAUCAUACAACUGGUUGACCCCAACAAGACUGUAUUAUGACAAAUAAUAAUUAUUUUGAUAUCACCAUUAUGUUGUGAUGCAGUGUAUAUUUCUGUUCAUAGGUGUGGCGAAAGUCCUGUUUGUGACUGAAGCCUGUCUUUAAGAGGGCCCUUUCAAAGUUAUUAUUAACGCAUUUAAGGAAUAGAUAUUCAAGGGGUUGAUUAAAAUAUUAAAAAAUAUGACUAACUAAUAAGCAUAGAUACAUUAAAGUAAUGCAUUAUGAUUUUUACAUUCUUUUAUUAACAAACUUACUAAUUAGUGCAAAACAAAAAGAAGAUUAAAGAUCUAACUUCAUAACGCCAAAAAGAGCAUCUACAGGGGUCUUGAGACAAAAUGUGUUAUUGUUUCAUCAUUUCACAUGUUAUCUUUGCUUACUUGUCAGUUUCUUGUUCAAUAUUCCUUCUUUUUCCCAUCUA